AGUAACUCUAGAGCUAAUACAUGCAUCAAUCCCUGACUUCCUGGAAGGGGUGUACUUAUUAGAUGGAAACCAGUGCGGGUUCGCCCGGAUUAUGGUGAUUCAUAAUAAUUUUCGGAUCGAUCAAUUGAUCGAUGCAUCAUUCAAGUUUCUGCCCUAUCAGCUUUGGAUGGUAGGGUAUUGGCCUACCAUGGCAUUAACGGGUAACGGAGAAUUAGGGUUCGAUUCCGGAGAGGGCGCCUGAGAAACGGCGACCAGUUCCAAGGAAGGCAGCAGGCGCGUAAAUUACCCAAUCCUGACACAGGGAGGUAGUGACAAUAAAUAACAAUGUCGGGCCUUCGGGUUUGACAAUUGGAAUGAGAACAAUUUAAAUCCCUUAUCGAGGAUCAAUUGGAGGGCAAGUCUGGUGCCAGCAGCCGCGGUAAUUCCAGCUCCAAUAGCGUAUACCAAAGUUGUUGCAGUUAAAAAGCUCGUAGUUGAAUUUCUGGUUUCGGAGUGCGGUCUGCCCCGUGGGGUAAGUAUCAGCGCUCGGGAGCCAUCCUCGAGGAGAACAUGCCUGUGAUUGAGUUCAUGGGUAUGGGAGCCUCGUCUUUUACUGUGAGCAAACUAGAGUGUUCAAAGCAGGCUUACGCCGUUGAAUACAUUAGCAUGGAAUAAUGGAAUAGGACUUUGGUGCUAUUUCGUUGGUUAUGGGACCGAGGUAAUGAUUAAUAGGGACAGUUGGGGCCGUUCAUAUUU
rnacentral:rRNA from 1 species